rnacentral:tRNA from 1 species
AUUCCUUUAGUAUUAACAAGUACAGUUGACUUCCAAUCAACCAGUUUCGGAUAAGGCCCGAAAAGGAAUA